CUGUAACUUUUCCCAACCCAAUCAAGACGGCCAAUUAACAAUGUACCAAACCUGAAAAACAAUAAAUAAGGUACAAUAUUAACAUUCAAACAAAAAAACCUUGACAUCAAAGCCCUAAAAAGGUAAAUUGAAAUUGAUUUAGGUUAGAGCCUCUGUGCAGAAAAUUGAACAGGUAAAAUCCAAACAACAUCAUAAAAAGGGAAGUAAUCUAGGAUUUUCAAGAAAUUAAAAUAAAAUUCACAACAACAAAGCAGGUAAAAGAGUAGAGGUACCAUAUGAAGAAAAAAUCAGAACCCUAAAACACAAAUUGGAAAAAGUCAAAUUCAUUAGAACCCUAAUGAGGAAUAGCUAGCACGGACUAAGGUGUAUACACAAGGAGCGAAAGAUACAGACACGAUAUAACUUACCACGAUUACGUCAAUUAAUGCAGCAAGAAAAGAAAUUUAAAGCGUUUGAACUAAUGUAACAUGCAAAACUAUUAUAAUUAAUAGUUAUAGAGCUGAAAUUUUACCUUAUUCAGAAUAAUGAAACCCUAAAUGAAGCUUUAGAGGUAGAAAAAGACGAACUUUGAACCAACAGCGGUCGUACUGUUGACAAAACCCUUUCUACGUCCUGAAUUUCAUCUCAAUACAAUACAUAUCCGCUUCAAUUUCUCCCAAGCGCAUGAAAUUCUCUCACUCUCUUCAUAAAAACCCCCGCUUUGUCUUCUUUGUGGCCUUUUCUGAACCAGGGAGGGUAACGUUUCUUUUUUCUUCUUCUUCUUCUUCUUCUUCUUCUUCAAUGCUCAGCUCCGUCUUUUUCCCUUUCUUUUUUUUUUAAUUUUUUAAUUUUUUAAUUUUUU
rnacentral:lncRNA from 1 species